rnacentral:rRNA from 1 species
UACGUAGGGGGCAAGCGUUGUCCGGAAUUAUUGGGCGUAAAGAGCUCGUAGGCGGUUUGUCGCGUCGAAUGUGAAAACCCGGGGCUCAACCCCGGGCCUCAUUCGAUACGGGCAGACUAGAGUUCGGUAGGGGAGUCUGGAAUUCCUGGUGUAGCGGUGAAAUGCGCAGAUAUCAGGAGGAACACCGGUGGCGAAGGCGGGACUCUGGGCCGAUACUGACGCUGGAGGAGCGAAAGCGUGGGGAGCAAACAGG